rnacentral:tmRNA from 1 species
GGGGCUGAUUCUGGAUUCGACGGGAUUUGCGAAACCCAAGGUGCAUGCCGAGGGGCGGUUGGCCUCGUAAAAAGCCGCAAAAAAAUAGUCGCAAACGACGAAAACUACGCUUUAGCAGCUUAAUAACCUGCUUAGAGCCCUCUCCCCUAGCCUCCGCUCUUAGGACGGGGAUCAAGAGAGGUCAAACCCAAAAGAGAUCGCGUGGAUGCCCUGCCUGGGGUUGAAGCGUUAAAACGAAUCAGGCUAGUCUGGUAGUGGCGUGUCCGUCCGCAGGUGCCAGGCGAAUGUAAAGACUGACUAAGCAUGUAGUACCGAGGAUGUAGGAAUUUCGGACGCGGGUUCAACUCCCGCCAGCUCCACCA